rnacentral:rRNA from 1 species
UACGUAGGCAGCAAGCGUUGUUCGGAGUUACUGGGCGUAAAGGGUGUGUAGGCGGUUGGAUAAGUCUGAUGUGAAAUCUAUGGGCUCAACUCAUAGUCUGCAUCGGAAACUGCCGGGCUUGAGUGUGGGAGAGGUGAGUGGAAUUCCUGGUGUAGCGGUGAAAUGCGUAGAUAUCAGGAGGAACACCUGUGGCGAAAGCGGCUCACUGGACCAUAACUGACGCUGAUGCACGAAAGCUAGGGGAGCAAACAGG